UUGAAAUCAUUCAUCUCUCACUCUCUGAUGGGGGUUGCUCUUCCUGUUUCCAUCAAUUCAACUUCACCACCCUUACUCAUGUUCGAAGCUUCGAUCUCCACCCUUACUCUGCAUCUUGUUCGUGAGCUUCGAGCUGAUCGAUGACCAAGAGUCUUCUUCUUCAUCCGAUUCAGAAAACAGCUAUGAUGCGAAGUCUCUAAAUAUAUACCCAGAUCUUCAACCUAAUCCAUUGCAACUCUUGGAGAACCUGGAGCAGCUUACAGUCCUUGAUAAUGGCAAUAAGAUGAAGGUACCUUGAAUUUUUGUAUAUAAGUCGUGUACUUGGAAGUGUUCUACACAACAAUAGUGAAACUACUGGUUUUCUUCUAUAGGAGUUUGCAUAAAAAUGUGGGGAAAAGUAUGCUGCAGUUCCACAUAAAUUCUAU